rnacentral:lncRNA from 1 species
AUUUUUGACUACCAUCUCGAUGGUUAAGGCUGAUGGACAACAUGAGCUGCAGGAUCUUCCGGUUAUUGCAGAGUAUGAGGACAUAUUUGUGACCUUUGGAACGGUCACCACAUGACACAUGAGAAACUCUUGCGAUUUGUUUGGAGCAAACAACACCAGUUUCACAAGUUUUAUACCGAUUAGCACCAACAGAGAUGACAAAGCUGAAAGAGCAUGUUGAAGAUUCAUCAGACAAGGGUUUUAUCAGACCGGGUACUUUACCGUGGGGAACAUCAUCAUUGUUGUUGUAAAGAAGAAAGGUGGGAGUUUCAAUUUUGUAUCGACUACAAAGGUCUGAACAAAGUGACCAUUAAAGAUAAGUAUCGCUUCCGCGCGUUGAUGAAUUAUUGGAUUAUUUACAGGAAGUUUAUAGUUCUUGAAGGUUGACAUGGCAUCAGAACACCAUCAGAUUACUAUAUUUGAAGAGUAUCUACUGAAUGUGAAUUUUUGUAUACAUUAUGGAUAUUAUGGGACGCAGUGAUACCAUUUGGCUCGACAAAGGCACUGUUGCAUUCAUGAAGAUAUGAAUGACGUUUUCGUGAACAUUUGGAUAGGUGUGCGAUUGUAUUCAUCGAUGACAUCCUGAUUUAUUUUGGAGUAGAAAGGAGAUUUGUGAGCAUUUUGCGGAUGGUGUUGGAUAAGCUUGGAGAGCAUCAGCUGUUUAUUGCAGAGUAUGAGGAUAUAUUUGUGACCUUUGGAACGGUCACCACAUGACACAUGAGAAACUCUUGUGAUUUGUUUGGAGCAAACAGCACCAGUUUCACAAGUUUUAUACCGAUUAGCACCAACAGAGAUGACAAAGCUGAAAGAGCAUGUUGAAGAUUCAUCAGACAAGGGUUUUAUCAGACCGGAUACUUUACCGUGGGGAACAUCAUCAUUGUUGUUGUAAAGAAGAAAGGUGGGAGUUUCAAUUUUGUAUCGACUACAAAGGUCUGAACAAAGUGACCAUUAAAGAUAAGUAUCGCUUCCGCGCGUUGAUGAAUUAUUGGAUUAUUUACAGGAAGUUUAUAGUUCUUGAAGGUUGACUUAGCAUCAGAACACCAUCAGAUUACUAUAUUUGAAGAGUA